rnacentral:tRNA from 1 species
GGCCCUUUAGCUCAGUGGUGAGAGCAUGCGACUCAUAAUCGCCAGGUCGCUGGUUCAAAUCCAGCAAGGGCCACCA